rnacentral:rRNA from 1 species
GACGAACGCUGGCGGCGUGCUUAACACAUGCGAGUCGAACGGAAAGGCCCUGCUUUUGUGGGGUGCUCGAGUGGCGAACGGGUGAGUAACACGUGAGUAACCUGCCCUUGACUUUGGGAUAACUUCAGGAAACUGGGGCUAAUACCGGAUAGGAGCUCCCGCUGCAUGGUGGGGGUUGGAAAGUUUCGGCGGUUGGGGAUGGACUCGCGGCUUAUCAGCUUGUUGGUGGGGUAGUGGCUUACCAAGGCUUUGACGGGUAGCCGGCCUGAGAGGGUGACCGGCCACAUUGGGACUGAGAUACGGCCCAGACUCCUACGGGAGGCAGCAGUGGGGAAUAUUGCACAAUGGGCGGAAGCCUGAUGCAGCAACGCCGCGUGCGGGAUGACGGCCUUCGGGUUGUAAACCGCUUUCGCCUGUGACGAAGCGUGAGUGACGGUAAUGGGUAAAGAAGCACCGGCUAACUACGUG